GUAGUCUGNAACCCGACUACAUGAAGCCGGAAUCGCUAGUAAUCGCGGAUCAGAAUGCCGCGGUGAAUACGUUCCCGGGUCUUGUACACACCGCCCGUCACACCAUGGGAGUCGGAAAUGCCCGAAGCCGGUGACCCAACCCGAAAGGGAGGGAGCCGUCGAAGGCAGGUCGGAUGACUGGGGUGAAGUCGUAACAAGGUACC
rnacentral:rRNA from 1 species